rnacentral:lncRNA from 1 species
CAGAGAUGGAAUUCCAUCUGAAUCUUGCUGUGAUUUUUUGGAUGAACUCAUGGGAUGUCAUUGCAGAUUCAAGGUUGUAUGUGUUUGUAAUUUGGGUUUAGUAUUGAUCAAUCACUUCUGGGCCAGAGGGGAAAUGUGCAUGUGAAUUUUGAAAAUAAAAAUUUGAAAACAUCCCUGAAGAUAGUGACCCGUUGCUCCAUUCAUGGGUAUUUGAGCUUAUACAGGUGUCUCAGGCUGUUGUCAUGAAGUACCACAAAGCUGGUGGCUUAAAACACACCUUUAUUUAUCUUACAGCCCCAGGAGUCAGAAGCCCAGAUGGGUCUCCUGACUAAAAUCAACACGUGCCAGGGCUGUGCUCCUUCUGCAGACUCGAGAGGAAUGCUGUUCCAGCUUUCAGAAGCGUCCACACCCGUGGGCUGUGGCCCCAUGUCCCUCCAACCUCUGCCUCCCAAGUCACACCUCCUCUUGCCUCCCUGCUUCACUUCUGAGGACCCCAUCCUGCAUAAUCCUCUCCUCACCUCCAAAUCCUUAAUUGAAUUAUGCUUGCAGAAUCCUUUCUACCAGGUGAGGCACCAUAUUCACACGUUCCAGAGAUUAGGAUGUGGACACGAGUGGUGGUGGUUGUCCUGCUACCCAGAGUUCUUCCCGAUUCCUUUCUAUUUUACCAGAGACAAAGCUAACAUCUUUGUACAUGUCUAUAUGCACUGGUUAUUUCCUGAGGAAAAAAUCCUGAGUCACGUUGCGUGGAAUGGCUGCCCAAGUGGACCCUCCAUGGAAAUAUAA